rnacentral:rRNA from 1 species
AGCGAACGCUGGCGGCAGGCUUAACACAUGCAAGUCGAGCGGGCGUAGCAAUACGUCAGCGGCAGACGGGUGAGUAACGCGUGGGAACGUACCUUUUGGUUCGGAACAACACAGGGAAACUUGUGCUAAUACCGGAUAAGCCCUUACGGGGAAAGAUUUAUCGCCGAAAGAUCGGCCCGCGUCUGAUUAGCUAGUUGGUGAGGUAACGGCUCACCAAGGCGACGAUCAGUAGCUGGUCUGAGAGGAUGAUUAGCCACAUUGGGACUGAGACACGGCCCAAACUCCUACGGGAGGCAGCAGUGGGGAAUAUUGGACAAUGGGGGCAACCCUGAUCCAGCCAUGCCGCGUGAGUGAUGAAGGCCCUAGGGUUGUAAAGCUCUUUUGUGCGGGAAGAUAAUGACGGUACCGCAAGAAUAAGCCCCGGCUAACUUCGUGCCAGCAGCCGCGGUAAU